rnacentral:rRNA from 1 species
GACGAACGCUGGCGGCGUGCUUAACACAUGCAAGUCGAACGGAAAGGCCCUGCUUUUGUGGGGUGCUCGAGUGGCGAACGGGUGAGUAACACGUGAGUAACCUGCCCUUGACUUUGGGAUAACUUCAGGAAACUGGGGCUAAUACCGGAUAGGAGCUCCUGCUGCAUGGUGGGGGUUGGAAAGUUUCGGCGGUUGGGGAUGGACUCGCGGCUUAUCAGCUUGUUGGUGGGGUAGUGGCUUACCAAGGCUUUGACGGGUAGCCGGCCUGAGAGGGUGACCGGCCACAUUGGGACUGAGAUACGGCCCAGACUCCUACGGGAGGCAGCAGUGGGGAAUAUUGCACAAUGGGCGGAAGCCUGAUGCAGCAACGCCGCGUGCGGGAUGACGGCCUUCGGGUGGUAGACCGCUUUCGCCUGUGACGAAGCGUGAGUGACGGUAAUGGGUAAAGAAGCACCGGCUAACUACGU